rnacentral:misc_RNA from 1 species
AACGCACAUUGCGCCCUUUGGUAUUCCGAAGGGCAUGCCUGUUCGAGCGUCAUUUCGUCCAUCAAGCUUUCUCUGCUUGGUCUUGGGUGAGGUAAAAUGGUUACCCACCUGCAACCCAUUCGCGGAAGUCGUCAAGUCCCGGCGUAGCAAGUCUCUCGCCUCGGACGAAAGCGUUUUCUUUCUCGUUUUCGAAAUUUUGACCUCGGAUCAGGUAGGAAUACCCGCUGAACUUAA